CGGGUGAGUAAUGUAUGGGGAUCUGCCUGAUGGCGGGGGAUAACUACUGGAAACGGUAGCUAAUACCGCAUAAUGUCUGCGGACCAAAGCGGGGGACCUCCGGGCCUCGCGCCAUCAGAUGAACCCAUAUGGGAUUAGCUUGUAGGUAAGGUAACGGCUUACCUAGGCGACGAUUCCUAGCUGGUCUGAGAGGAUGAUCAGCCACACUGGGACUGAGACACGGCCCAG
rnacentral:rRNA from 1 species